AAUGGGGGCAACCCUGACGCAGCAACGCCGCGUGAGUGAAGAAGGCCUUCGGGUUGUAAAGCUCUGUCAGGCGGGAAGAAACUUCCACAGGUGAAUAGUCUGUGGAACUGACGGUACCGCCAAAGGAAGCACCGGCUAACUCCGUGCCAGCAGCCGCGGUAAGACGGAGGGUGCAAGCGUUGUUCGGAAUCACUGGGCGUAAAGCGCGUGUAGGCGGUUUGGUAAGUCGAGUGUGAAAUCCCGAGGCUUAACCUCGGAAGUGCACUCGAAACUGUCAGGCUUGAGUACGGGAGAGGGAAGUGGAAUUCCUGGUGUAGAGGUGAAAUUCGUAGAUAUCAGGAGGAACACCGGUGGCGAAGGCGGCUUCCUGGACCGAUACUGACGCUGAGACGCGAAAGCGUGGGGAGCAAA
rnacentral:rRNA from 1 species